AACGAACGCUGGCGGCAUGCCUAACACAUGCAAGUCGAACGAAGGCUUCGGCCUUAGUGGCGCACGGGUGCGUAACGCGUGGGAAUCUGCCCUUUGGUUCGGAAUAACAGCUGGAAACGGCUGCUAAUACCGGAUGAUGACGAAAGUCCAAAGAUUUAUCGCCAGAGGAUGAGCCCGCGUUGGAUUAGGUAGUUGGUGGGGUAAGGGCCUACCAAGCCGACGAUCCAUAGCUGGUCUGAGAGGAUGAUCAGCCACACUGGGACUGAGACACGGCCCAGACUCCUACGGGAGGCAGCAGUGGGGAAUAUUGGACAAUGGGCGCAAGCCUGAUCCAGCAAUGCCGCGUGAGUGAUGAAGGCCCUAGGGUUGUAAAGCUCUUUUACCCGGGAAGAUAAUGACUGUACCGGGAGAAUAAGCCCCGGCUAACUCCGUG
rnacentral:rRNA from 1 species